UACGUAGGGCGCAAGCGUUAUCCGGAAUUAUUGGGCGUAAGGAGCUCGUAGGCGGUUUGUCGCGUCUGCCGUGAAAGUCCGGGGCUCAACUCCGGAUCUGCGGUGGGUACGGGCAGACUAGAGUGCGGUAGGGGAGACUGGAAUUCCUGGUGUAGCGGUGAAAUGCGCAGAUAUCAGGAGGAACACCGGUGGCGAAGGCGGGUCUCUGGGCCGUAACUGACGCUGAGGAGCGAAAGCAUGGGGAGCGAACAGG
rnacentral:rRNA from 1 species